ACGGUCUCCAGUACUGCAUACAAUACUCCUAGUGAGGUCUCACCAGUGUUCUGUACAAUGGCACGAGCACUUCCCUAUUUCUACUGCUAAUACCUCUUCCAUUGUAUUUUACAAAUGAGUUUGAACCCUUUUAUAGACUGUAACUUUUUUUUACCACCACUUAGCUUGUUUCUGUGGGUUUGCAUUAGCAUUUAACUACUGUACCAGGAUCUGUG